CCUACGGGAGGCAGCAGUGAGGAAUAUUGGUCAAUGGGCGGAAGGCUGAACCAGCCAAGCAGCGUGAAGGACGAAGGUGCUAAGCAUUGUAAACUUCUUUUGUCAAGGGACAAAAUCAGGCACGAGAGCCUGAUCGAGGGUACUUGAAGAAAAAGCAUCGGCUAACUCCGUGCCAGCAGCCGCGGUAAUACGGAGGAUGCGAGCGUUAUCCGGAUUUAUUGGGUUUAAAGGGUGCGUAGGCGGACUGUUAAGUCAGCGGUGAAAGCCCGGGGCUCAACCCGUGAACUGCAUUUGAUACUGUUUCCCUUGAGUGUCGGUGAGGUAAGCGGAAUUCCUUGUGUAGCGGUGAAAUGCGUAGAUAUAAGGAAGAACACCAGUUGCGAAGGCGGAUUACUGGACGAUAACUGACGGUGAGGCGCGAAAGCGUGGGGAGCAAACAGGAUUAGAUACCCUAGUAGUC
rnacentral:rRNA from 1 species